rnacentral:tRNA from 2 species
AAGGUUUUAAGUUAAUAAAACUAAUAAUCUUCAAAAUUAUAAAUAAAGUUAAUAAAUUCUUUAAGCCUUA